rnacentral:rRNA from 1 species
AGAGUUUGAUCAUGGCUCAGAUUGAACGCUGGCGGAAUGCUUUACACAUGCAAGUCGAACGGCAGCACGGGAGCUUGCCCCUGGUGGCGAGUGGCGAACGGGUGAGUAAUGCGUCGGAACGUACCGAGUAAUGGGGGAUAACGCAGCGAAAGUUGUGCUAAUACCGCAUACGCCCCGAGGGGGAAAGUGGGGGACCGCAAGGCCUCACGUUAUUCGAGCGGCCGACGUCUGAUUAGCUAGUUGGUGGGGUAAAGGCCUACCAAGGCGACGAUCAGUAGCGGGUCUGAGAGGAUGAUCCGCCACACUGGGACUGAGACACGGCCCAGACUCCUACGGGAGGCAGCAGUGGGGAAUUUUGGACAAUGGGGGCAACCCUGAUCCAGCCAUUCCGCGUGAGUGAAGAAGGCCUUCGGGUUGUAAAGCUCUUUCAGCUGGAACGAAACGGUACGCGCUAACAUCGUGUGCUAAUGACGGUACCGGCAGAAGAAGCACCGGCUAACUACGUGCCAGCAGCCGCGGUAAUACGUAGGGUGCGAGCGUUAAUCGGAAUUACUGGGCGUAAAGCGUGCGCAGGCGGAUUGUUAAGCAAGAUGUGAAAUCCCCGGGCUUAACCUGGGAAUGGCAUUUUGAACUGGCAGUCUAGAGUGCGUCAGAGGGGGGUGGAAUUCCACGUGUAGCAGUGAAAUGCGUAGAGAUGUGGAGGAACACCGAUGGCGAAGGCAGCCCCCUGGGAUGACACUGACGCUCAUGUACGAAAGCGUGGGUAGCAAACAGGAUUAGAUACCCUGGUAGUCCACGCCCUAAACGAUGUCAACUGGUUGUUGGGGGAGUGAAAUCCCUUAGUAACGAAGCUAACGCGUGAAGUUGACCGCCUGGGGAGUACGGUCGCAAGAUUAAAACUCAAAGGAAUUGA